rnacentral:misc_RNA from 1 species
AACGCACAUUGCGCCCUUUGGUAUUCCGAAGGGCAUGCCUGUUCGAGCGUCAUUACAACCCUCAAGCUCUGCUUGGUGUUGGGCUUCGCCGGUCAGUCCGGCGGGCCUCAAAGUUAUAGGCGGCGACGCCCCUGCUUCGAGCGUAGUAGAAUCAUCUUUCGCUUGCAAGUGGAGGCGUGGCUUGCCGAACAACCCGGGCUCUGCCCACUUCUCAGGUUGACCUCGGAUCAGGUAGGGAUACCCGCUGAACUUAA